rnacentral:rRNA from 1 species
AGUGAACGCUGGCGGCAGGCCUAAUACAUGCAAGUCGAACGGCAGCACAGCAGAGCUUGCUCUGUGGGUGGCGAGUGGCGGACGGGUGAGGAAUACAUGGGAAUCUGCCCAGUCGUGGGGGAUAACGUAUGGAAACGUACGCUAAUACCGCAUGCGCCCUACGGGGGAAAGUCGGGGACCGCAAGGCCUGACGCGAUUGGAUGAGCCCAUGUUCGAUUAGCUAGUUGGCGGGGUAAAGGCCCACCAAGGCGACGAUCGAUAGCUGGUCUGAGAGGAUGAUCAGCCACACUGGAACUGAGACACGGUCCAGACUCCUACGGGAGGCAGCAGUAGGGAAUAUUGGACAAUGGGGGCAACCCUGAUCCAGCCAUGCCGCGUGAGUGAAGAAGGCCCUCGGGUUGUAAAGCUCUUUUGUCCGGAAAGAAAGCAAUCGGUUAAUACCCGGUUGUUCUGACGGUACCGGAGAAUAAGCACCGGCUAACUUCGUGCCAGCA